UUUGCGCAGUCCCGCCCUUGCACAAUGAUUAUUGGCUGAUACAGUCUCAGUCAGUAUGCAAUGCGACGGGAUUGGUAACAACUCGAUACGUCCGGUCGCCCGACCCGGGGGAGCUUUAUUCGUCUGAGUAACUGCCAAUCAUAAGCAAAGGCCAUAAGCAAUUGGCUCGGGACUACACAGGCCUCGCCUACUACAAGUCCCCUUUCUUUCCUUCACUUCCCCUUUCAGAGAAUGUCCGGAUUCCUAUUGGACUUUGGAGCUUAGGGCUCCAAAGCCCUUGAUUGGCUGGAACUCGAUGGAAAAUGGUGGUUAAGGAAAGUGCGCAUGAGCUGCAGGCGGCGGGAAGAGGUGGGCCAAUCCUGUGAAGGUUAAGCCUUCUCUGGUCCCACCCCUUCACCUUAGCUUGUCGCCAUGGUGACUGCUCUACGAUUGGCGGGGUUUGAGGUUCAAAGACUUUGGCUCGGCCUCAUCCGGGGCCUCCGGCUGUGGUCUCUCCAGGCUGAUUGGGCCGUUUCUUUCACCUCUGAUUGGCCGAGAUCGGAAAAGACGGCGAAGAGCUCGGCAAGAGAGCAAGUACUAGGGUCUCAGGGUUCAAAAUGGCUCCGGCCUCCUUCGGUGACGUAGAGAGCAGAGCUUGGCUUCGCCCCUCCCUUUUAGUGAAGAAGGGAGCAGAACUGGGAUCAGCUCGACGUUUGGAUUGUGCGAACGCAUAUUUGCGGAGCUGGUGUUAGCCCAUCUCCCUCGGCUGGAGGACUCAGCCCGCUCCUCCUUAGGGCGAAGGUGUGUCUGGCAGCGGGGACAGACACAGGCUGAGGGCAGUACAGCAACACCCAGAUAAAAGGUCCCACGUGACUCAAGUGAGGCAUGGAAGAGGAGACCUGAUGAAGAAGGAAUGGGCAAAGGAAGGAAUACAGCACCAAGGGACACACAAGCCGUGUGUGCUGAAAGGGAAUUGGAGGAAAAAAAGGAUGCAGCUGGAGCCAGAGAAGGCCAGAGGCGGAGGCAGAGCCCAGCGGGGCGCUCGCGGGGCGGAGCUACCAAGAGCCCACUGGUCGAUGCGGCGAAAAGAUGCGUGGGUCCCUGGGAGUCGAUUGGCAAAACAGGCCGCCCAUCACCGCCCUCUACUUCCUGGCCAGCCCCGGAAAC